UGCCUUCAGUGUUGCCCGUUCAUUUUGGUUGCUAAUGAAUGUGGUGUCAGAGAAGGCAUAAAUCAAAUCCACCCACUUGCAGCAUUUUCCUGCUGCAAGUGGGUUUGCUGUAUGUGGGACAUCU